rnacentral:rRNA from 1 species
CAGCCGCCGCGGGAAUACGUAGGUCCCGAGCGUUGUCCGGAUUUAUUGGGCGUAAAGCGAGCGCAGGCGGUUAGAUAAGUCUGAAGUUAAAGGCUGUGGCUUAACCAUAGUACGCUUUGGAAACUGUUUAACUUGAGUGCAGAAGGGGAGAGUGGAAUUCCAUGUGUAGCGGUGAAAUGCGUAGAUAUAUGGAGGAACACCGGUGGCGAAAGCGGCUCUCUGGUCUGUAACUGACGCUGAGGCUCGAAAGCGUGGGGAGCAAACAGGAUUAGAUACCCCUGUAGUCCCUGUCUCUUAUACA